ensembl:snoRNA
UCUUCGGUGAUGAUUAACACAGUGACUUUCGUUCUUCUGAUAUUACUGAAGCCAACAUUUCUGUCCUGAGAGGA